GUUGCUGCUGACUCAUACGGAUGUGGACUCAGUGCAGAUGAGAUCAAAAUGUGAUCUGAAUGUACCAAGUAAUACAAAAGCUGAUGAUAUGAACCUGAAUUCUUCCCAAAGGAAGAAAACUGCAAAUGCCAGAGCCCCAAUUUAGGUCUACAUUUUUUUCUAAUUUGUCCACCAACAUUUCUCCAACAAUGAGGAUGUUCUCAUUUUCUCCACAUCCUUCUCAUUAUCUACUUGCAGCUCUCUAAUGAUUAUUAUUAUACUAACCUGUUCAUGGAAAUGCUUUCAUCUAUUUUUUUCUAAUGGAAGCAUACUCACAUUUUUCCAUUUAUUUUUUUCCACUUUCAUCCAAGACAUAAGUUAUCCACCCUCUCCCACAUUCCAUUUUCAAUAUUUGACCUUAAAUAUGUCCACUUGUCAAGAUGACUGACAGCUAACACUAAGACAUCAGGUGCAAUACUGAAAUUUUUUUCGUAAGGAAAAGAUCUUGAAAAAUCUUACUAUACCUUUGAAUAUUUCUGUGUCUUUGAAUAUUCUUUGCCUUAACUCCCUGCAGGACUAGAAACUCCUAACUCUC